rnacentral:lncRNA from 1 species
CGCUCGACUGGUUGCCAUGGACAACCUACAGUUUGUGCAAGUGAAAUAAGCGAAGACGAUAUUUGACUUCGAAGGCGUGUUUCGAAUGCAAAGUGUUUGGACGAGACCUCCGGCGUGUAUCAAGCUCUGGCGAAAAAUGAAAAUGUUGAAAUAUACAGGGAGACUGUGUUGAAUGAGAUGGAUAGCACGAAUUACUACGAUUCCAUCAAUGAAUAUAACAUGUGCAAGUACGGUGAAGAAACAGAAGAAUAUACGAGUAAUGUUUUUCAACUUGAAAAUAAACACAAAAAUCGUCCUCCAAUACAUGUGCCCCAUCUAGGUAACUUAAAAAAUAAAGGAGUAGUAGAAAGAGAAGCAGUGGUAGUAGUAGAAGAAGAAGAAAGUUAUGAGGAUCCAGACU